rnacentral:lncRNA from 1 species
GGAUCAAGUUGUCGAAGCAUGAUGAAGCUGAGAAAGUGGACACGACAAUGUUCAAGAGCUUAGUUGGGAGCUUACGAUAUUUGACUUGCACGAGACCCGACAUUCUCUACGCCACCGGCCUCAUAAGUUGCUACAUGGAGAAUCCAACUACUACACACUUGAAGGCUGCAAGAAGAAUUCUCCGCUACCUCAAAGGUACAAUCAACUUUGGCUUGUUCUAUUCAACUUUGGAGAAUCCAACUACUACACACUUGAAGGCUGCAAGAAGAAUUCUCCGCUACCUUAAAGGUACAAUCAUUUUUGGCUUGUUCUAUUUAACUUCUAGUGAUUAUAAGUUUGUUGGUUAUAGCGAUAGCGAUUGUGCCGGAGACAUUGAUGAUAGAAAAAGUACCACGGGCUUCGUGUUCUUCAUGGGAGAAACUGCCUUCACUUGGAUGUCCAAGAAACAACCAAUUGUCACUCUAUCCACAUGUGAAGCUCAGUACGUUGCCGCUACCUCCUGUAUAUGUCAUGCAAUUUGGAUGCAAAGUUUGCUAAAGGAGCUCGGAUGGCUACAAGAAGAUCCAACUACUAUUUGCGUGGAUAAUAAGUCGACGUUGGUGUUGGCGAAAAAUCCGGUGUUCCAUGAUCGAAGCAAGCAUAUUGACACACGCUAUCACUACAUAAGAGAGUGCAUCACAAGAAAGGAUGUACAAGN